CUGUGAUUUAUGGUCCAGGUGUGGGGAUGGGAGUACCUCAGCUUGCCAGGAACCAAGCAUAUGGCGGGAAUGGUUAUGGAGCUCAACCCAUGGGAGGUUACAAUGGCGGUUAUGGCAGCGCUGGUUUGGGUCCGGGACCUCGGUAUGGGAAUGGAGGAACGAAGGGACCAAAGCCUGG